rnacentral:rRNA from 1 species
UACGAAGGGGGCUAGCGUUGCUCGGAAUCACUGGGCGUAAAGCGCACGUAGGCGGGUUGCUAAGUCAGGGGGUGAAAUCCUGGGAGCUCAACUCCAGAACUGCCUUUGAUACUGGCGGCCUUUGAGUCCGGGAGAGGUGAGUGGAACUGCGAGUGUAGAGGUGAAAUUCGUAGAUAUUCGCAAGAACACCAGUGGCGAAGGCGGCUCACUGGCCCGGUACUGACGCUGAGGUGCGAAAGCGUGGGGAGCAAACAGG